rnacentral:rRNA from 1 species
UACGGGGGGGGCAAGCGUUGUUCGGAAUUACUGGGCGUAAAGGGCUCGUAGGUGGCCAACUAAGUCAGACGUGAAAUCCCUCGGCUUAACCGGGGAACUGCGUCUGAUACUGGAUGGCUUGAGUUUGGGAGAGGGAUGCGGAAUUCCUGGUGUAGCGGUGAAAUGCGCAGAUAUCAGGAGGAACACCGGUGGCGAAGGCGGGUCUCUGGGCCGUAACUGACGCUGAGGAGCGAAAGCGUGGGGAGCGAACAGG